GGUUAAGCGACUAAGCGUACACGGUGGAUGCCCUGGCAGUCAGAGGCGAUGAAGGACGUGCUAAUCUGCGAUAAGCGUCGGUAAGGUGAUAUGAACCGUUAUAACCGGCGAUUUCCGAAUGGGGAAACCCAGUGUGUUUCGACACACUAUCAUUAACUGAAUCCAUAGGUUAAUGAGGCGAACCGGGGGAACUGAAACAUCUAAGUACCCCGAGGAAAAGAAAUCAACCGAGAUUCCCCCAGUAGCGGCGAGCGAACGGGGAGCAGCCCAGAGCCUGAAUCAGUGUGUGUGUUAGUGGAAGCGUCUGGAAAGGCGCGCGAUACAGGGUGACAGCCCCGUACACAAAAAUGCACAUAUUGUGAGCUCGAUGAGUAGGGCGGGACACGUGGUAUCCUGUCUGAAUAUGGGGGGACCAUCCUCCAAGGCUAAAUACUCCUGGCUGACCGAUAGUGAACCAGUACCGUGAGGGAAAGGCGAAAAGAACCCCGGCGAGGGGAGUGAAAAAGAACCUGAAACCGUGUACGUACAAGCAGUGGGAGCACGCUUAGGCGUGUGACUGCGUACCUUUUGUAUAAUGGGUCAGCGACUUAUAUUCUGUAGCAAGGUUAACCGAAUAGGGGAGCCGAAGGGAAACCGAGUCUUAACUGGGCGUUAAGUUGCAGGGUAUAGACCCGAAACCCGGUGAUCUAGCCAUGGGCAGGUUGAAGGUUGGGUAACACUAACUGGAGGACCGAACCGA
rnacentral:rRNA from 1 species